CUCCAGUGAAGCAGCUCUUUCCUGAACCUUUAGAAAGAUAGCAGAAAUGUAAGUGCAAAGACCACAGACCUCAAAAAAAUAAAAAGAUGAGGUAAUCCACCAUUUCAAUUUUGAAUCCAAGAUAUUUCCAGUUUUGUAAAAGAUGCAAGAAUUUUGCUGGUUACAAUAAACUAUUCUGCUGAAAGUUAACGUCAAAGUAUGCACAGGUUCUGCAGACAGAGAUGUCAGGUUUGAAGACUUUUUGAGCUUCACAUUUUUGCUCAGUCAGUUUAAGUGACAGUUUGGAAAGGCUGAAUGGCACAUCUUAAGAAUAAACGAAAAAACGAAA